UGUAGGUCCUCUACAGAUUUUUGGAUUACUUAAGCAAAUUUGAUUGGGAGAAAUACUGUGUAAGUUUAAAUGGACCAGUUUACAAAUCCUCUCUACCUAAUAUUGUGGCUGAAGUACCAGAUAAUAGAGGGGAUGAUGUACUGCUAGGUGAAGAGUUUAUUAGAAACUGUGUACCAUCAAAGGGGUGUGAGACAAACUUACGAGUUUGUUCCUUAUAAUUGAUCCACUAAAAGAGAACAACCACCUUGGCCGUAGUGUCAAUAGAGGUAGCUUCUAUCGAAAAUGUAGUGCUUUUUAAAUAUGGAGCUCGCAAGCUAGGCUGGAUUCUCUUGUUACCAGCAGAGAGAAUAUCAGAUGAACUUAACAAGUUUUUAGCAACACUUUGGAUAGGCAUGAAAGUAAAUGUCAGACUACUGUGCAAAAUAAUGCCUUGUUGGAGCUGGGUGAAGAUUUGGAGUUGAUACCAGUAAAUGAAACAUCAACUAUGUCUCUUUUUGGUAGGUUUAAGCUUUGUAAGUUGCAAUAAGUUUCUUUAUUCUCGGAUAAGCUAGUGCAAUAAGUUGUAUUUACAUAUCUAUUACGACUUUAGAUUUUGAUCGAAAGUGAUGAUGUAUAUGAAUACAUUUGUAGACAUA